rnacentral:rRNA from 1 species
GACGAACGCUGGCGGCGUGCCUAAUACAUGCAAGUAGGACGCAGUUACGAAAGGGUGAGUAACGCGUAGGUAACUACCUAUUAGAGGGGGAUCACUAUUGGAAACGAUAGCUAAUACCGCAUACUAGUAGAUGGACCUACGUUGGAGUAGCUAGUAGGUAGGGUAAAUGCCUACCUAGGCAACGAUACAUAGCCGACCUGAGAGGGUGAUCGGCAACACUGGGACUGAGACACGGCCCAGACUCCCACGGGCGGCAGCAGUAGGGAGUCUUCGGCAAUGGGGGGAACACUGACCGAGCAACGCCGCGUGAGUGAAGAAGGUUUUCGUAUCGUAAAGCUCUGUUGUUAAGGAAGCGGUACUUAACCAGAAAGGGAUGGCUAACUACGUGCCAGCAGCCGCGGUAAUAC